rnacentral:lncRNA from 1 species
GUCUAAUUUGCAAUUUUAUUAAAACAUGUAUAUUUGAUCACCAAGCCCUUGCAUUAUUGCUAAGUAUCUACUUAUGCAGAUAUGUUUCCAUUCUAUAGAAUAUAGUUUAGAAAAUGAUGACAAAAAGUCAGGAAACUUUAUGUUAUUGUGGAUAAUUCUGAGUUUUUAGUAGAAGAAAUGUUUCUUUUUUAACUUAGUAUAGGUUUGGAGUAUACAAUGUUUACAUUCUUUUUGUGAAGUUGGUACAUGUACAGAACACAUCUUAAUUCCUUUUUUCACACCCACUACCCCCCUUUCCUCCCCUCCAUCUCUUGAGCCCCUUCCCAUUUGACAAAGAUCCAUCUUCCUACUUCCUAUCACCUGUCUUUCAUUUUUCUCUUUAUGUAUAAGUUGGGUUUAUCAUAUAAGAAAAACCAUGUCAUAUUUAAGUGUGUGUAUCUGAUUUAUUUCACUUAACACUAUGUUCUCACGGUGCUUUCAUUUUCCUGAAAAUGAUUCAAGUUUAUCUUUCUUCAUGGCAGAGUGAUACUCUGUUGUGUGUUACUACAUUUUCUUCCUCCAUUCAUCUAUUGAUGGAGAUAUAUUGAUGGGCUGCUUCCGAGAUUUAGCUAUUAUGAAUUGUGCUGCUAUAGACAUGCGUAUGCAUGUAUCACUAUAAAACAAUGUCUUUUACUCUUUCAGGAAGUUACCUAGAAGGGAAAUAACUGGGUCAAAUGCAAUUUCUGGUUUUAAUUUUUUGAGGACCCUCCAAUUGAUUUCCAUAGUGGUUGUAGUAGUUUACAUUCGCAUUAACAAUGUAGAAAAAUUAUUUUUUCCCCAACAGCCUGAGGUAAUGAAGAGGCUUUCAGAAUAUGUUUCUUUGGCAUGUGUAGCAGAUUUGAAGUGACUUUAUGUCCUUAGUAGGUAUAAAGUAUCUUUAUUUUCAGCUUGUAGUAAAACAUGACACAGUAUAAUACUGAUAAACAAUUCAAAAAUAAUUCUUCCCGUCCUUUUAAAAAUUAGAUUCAGCAAAACAUGAAGCAAUGUACAGUAUUAGUUAUCAUUCCCAUUGCUGGACACAAUACCUGACAUUCACAGGUUAAAGGAGGAAAGGUUUAAUUUAGCUCAUGGUUUGGGGGAUUGAGUCCAUAGUCAGCUGACUCCAAGGCAGGAACAUCAUGGCCGAGCAAAGCUGCUUACUUCUUAGCAUCUGAAAAGCAGAGCAAGGCAGCAGCAGAGAACAGUGAAGGGAAUGGAUGCAUUACCCAAAGCCACGUCUCUAUGGUCCACUCAGAUGCACCCAGAUCCGAAGGAUUCAGUCAAGGCUCGAAGCCCUGGAGCUCACUGUAGAGUCCCUCUCGAGUCUGCGUAAGGAGGCUGAAGGUUCUGCAAUGGAAGCUGAA